UACGGAGGAUGCGAGCGUUAUCCGGAUUCACUGGGUUUAAAGGGUGAGUAGGCGGACCGAUAAGUCAGUGGUGAAAGACUGUAGCUUAAAUAUAGAAAUGCCAUUGAUACUGUUGGCCUUGAGUGAAGUUGAGGCAGGCGGAAUGUGCAGUGUAGCGGUGAAAUGCUUAGAUAUUGCACAGAACACCGAUUGCGGAGGCAGCUUGCUAAACUUCUACUGACGCUGAGUCACGAAAGCGGUGGGAUCAAACAGGAUUAGAUACCCUGGUAGUCCACGCUGUAAACGAUGAUCACUCGUUGUUGGCGAUACACAGCCAGCGGCUGAGCUAAAGCAUUAAGUGAUCCACCUGGGGAGUACGACGGCAACGUUGAA
rnacentral:rRNA from 1 species